UACGGAGGGAGCUAGCGUUGUUCGGAAUUACUGGGCGUAAAGCGCGCGUAGGCGGCUAUGUAAGUUAGAGGUGAAAGCCCGGGGCUCAACCCCGGAACAGCCUUUAAGACUGCAUCGCUAGAAUCCGGGAGAGGUGAGUGGAAUUCCGAGUGUAGAGGUGAAAUUCGUAGAUAUUCGGAAGAACACCAGUGGCGAAGGCGGCUCACUGGACCGGUAUUGACGCUGAGGUGCGAAAGCGUGGGGAGCAAACAGG
rnacentral:rRNA from 1 species